GCAAAACCACGUCUUCUCAAAUACAAAAUACAAGAUAGCUCAUAAUAUAUAUAUAUUUUUUUUUUAGCCAGCUCAUAAUUUGUUACUCCCCCCAUAACCAAAAGCAGGAAUAUUACAUUUUUUCCUACCUAUAUAAAGUAUUUUCCUAAGCAAAUUUAACCUCUAAUAUACUCCUAAAACAAUACAUUGAUGUAAUGUUUUGAUUAUUAAAAUAACACGAUGAUAAGCAAUCGAUAAAAGCUAAAAGUAAAUAUAUAUAUUUGAAAGGUGACUUUACUUUGAUGAUAUAUAUACAUAUGAUUAUGAACCAUCAUCUUCUAUAGUCUAGUCAAAUUUCCAUUAUCCAAAGAGGAAUUUCAAAACUUUGUCCAAAAAAAAAAAGAAAAAGAAGAAUUUCAAAACUUUGUCCAAAAAAAAAGAAAAAGAAG
rnacentral:lncRNA from 1 species